UACGAAGGGGGCUAGCGUUGCUCGGAAUCACUGGGCGUAAAGGGUGCGUAGGCGGGUUUUUAGUCAGGGGUGAAAUCCUGGAGCUCAACUCCAGAACUGCCUUUGAUACUGAAGAUCUUGAGUCCGGGAGAGGUGAGUGGAACUGCGAGUGUAGAGGUGAAAUUCGUAGAUAUUCGCAAGAACACCAGUGGCGAAGGCGGCUCACUGGCCCGGUACUGACGCUGAGGCACGGAAAGCGUGGGGAGCAAACAGG
rnacentral:rRNA from 1 species